ACAGCUGCUGUGUGCAUCCUGCGGGGACGCUGUUGUAAAGUGCUUUGUCAGAGGAAUGAUGGCUAGCGCCUUUCUGUGCCCCCUCCUCCAGAAGACGCGCAGGGCUCGGGUCCUGCCGGCUGCCCGGCCGCCCGCUCAACGAAGAGGAAGCGACCGCAGGCGGCAGAAGCGCAUCGUCCCGCGUGCGGCGGAAGCCCAUUACCCUCUGCAGAAGGAGCACCGAGCGACUGCCUGAAACAAGCAGCAGCCGUUUUCAAAACCAAACAUUUAGCAGAACAUUGGGUCAGGGUUAAUUUGCAGCUGCAAAGAUGAGUUUGACCCUGUGGGACUUGAUGACCUCUAAGGUCCUUUCCAGCUCCAAGUCAUCCAGAAGGAGACAAGAAACAGCUCCUGACAGGCAGCUCGACCACCACCACCACCUUGACCCUUGCCUCUCCUCAGAUCCCAGCGGAGGCAGCCCAGGACCUGAACCCACCUCCCCUCCCCAAGGGAAGAAGUCCCCAUGGAGAUGGGGUCCACUUUCCUGGCCACUACCCAAAGUUGACCACCAGCACAAGAGCCCUGGGAAUGGUAGCACCCCACAAACCCCACAAACUGGGCUUGCCUCCAGUGCAGUGAUAAUCCCAGGAAAUAACCCCUCUGGGGCCACAGCCUGCCCACUACCUGCCCCUGUACAAAGGAACGUUCUCCUCACCCAAGUCCCGGCCCGACCAAUGGCUCAACAUCAGAAACCAAUGGGAUUUUAUCGGCAGAAGGCAUGAACAUCUCUUCUGCUACUGUGCCCUAAAGGCCAUUAAAAUGUGACCUCCCAAACUCUUCUCUAGAAAUAGGACUCAGUACUUAGUACAGAGUGCUUUGCACACAGCUGGUGCUUUAAAAAUGUAUUCUCGUUUAUUCAUUUUAGUGAGCUGCACAAUGAGAGGCUGUGGGAAAUAGUGGAAUCAGGAAGUGAUGGGUUCAAAUUCUGACUCAGAUAUUUACUUGCUGGCUGACCCUGGGAAAGUCACUUCACUUCGUUUUACCUGUAAAAUAAAGGCUCUCGGGAUCCAAAUGUAGCCCAUUUAUCUAAA